rnacentral:rRNA from 1 species
UACAGAGGUCUCAAGCGUUGUUCGGAUUCAUUGGGCGUAAAGGGUGCGUAGGCGGCGCGGUAAGUCGGGUGUGAAAUCUCGGAGCUUAACUCCGAAACUGCAUUCGAUACUGCCGUGCUUGAGGACUGGAGAGGAGACUGGAAUUUACGGUGUAGCGGUGAAAUGCGUAGAUAUCGUAAGGAAGACCAGUGGCGAAGGCGGGUCUCUGGUCAGUUCCUGACGCUGAGGCACGAAGGUCAGGGGAGCAAACGGG